GGCAAUGUGGCGGAGUGGUUAACGCGACAGAUUCGAAUUUCCCACGCUUAUCUGUUCCACUAUGUGGGCGCAUGUUCGAGUCAUGCCAUUGUCG